ensembl:lncRNA
CUUCCAUCAGCAGUGCCGUUACUUUUAUCUGUGCAGGAAUUCCACUCAAACACAACUUGCUGAUUCAUCUCCCAUCGUGCAGAGACAGUCUUCUUGCUGGUAGUUGGAAAGUAACACGGCAGUGUCGCUUUUUCUCCCUCUUUCACGGUGACAUUGAAAGGAACUAGAACUUUAACCUGGAUGCGCAUCUCCCGGCUGCCGCAUCUUAGCACAUAAACUCCACUGUCAUUGUAAAAUAUGCGCCUGAACAAAAUGGAAGAGCUUUGAAGGAUCCGGUGUCGGUAGCCCCGGGCGGGUGCCCACACACCGCGCUGGUGAACAGCCACCUCCACCUCCCCCUGGGGCUCAGCCCGGAGCAAUUUUCCUUCUUCAUCGUUCUUGCAGUUUUGUGGAAACGUGAAGGAGUUUCCUAAAACAGGCUGGACAUCUGCAGACAAACGGGUAAAAACAGCGACGACGAGCAGCGAGCCUAACAUAUCUGAACACCGGUCAGAAAGUCAAGUGCUUCAAGAGUCCCCCACCGGCACCACCCCUCAAAUGAGAGCUGAGGACGUUUGCCCCACAAAGGGCAGGCGUGGAGAGGAGAGGGCGGUGUAGCAGAGCACGCGCAUGUUUUGCGGGGAAGGAUUCUGGAUCAGCACCAUGAUGCAAACUCGUAGCCACUGUGUAUACAGUAUUCUGGAAAAGGUUCUGUAUUCAGCUGACAUGAUGAUGCUGCUCAUCUUCAUCUCCAGCUGUGUGGGUGGAGCAGCAGCAGAGGUGGAGGCUGAGGAUGGUGUGGAUGAUCAGGAGCUUCACUCUGAAUCCUGACCUCCUCCAUGUGCUUCAGUGACUUCUGCCUCCAUAAUUUGGUCACCAUGGCGACCAGCUGGAUGAUUGGUGUCCCUCCUCUCACUUUCUGAGAGCACUGAGGGCAUCCUGUCCAGCUUCAGGACCACCUGGCAGGAGUUUGUGGAGGACCUGGGCUUCUGCUGGUCAUCGCCCUCCUCUCCCUGGGCCUCGGCUACUACGUCAGCAGAGUCCUGCCUUUCUCAGGGUGGAGAGGAGGCAGCAAAAUAGAUGAAGAUCUUUAUGUAGAACAAAAACUCUGGUAUUUAUUUGUUGUGCAAAUCUGAUCAUUUUAUUGGAAUAUGAACAACAUCAUGUGAUGCUGCCAGUGCAAAGAAGAGAGGACGGUGACUCAGAGACACCAACAGCUUCAUGUGUGGCCUAACACCUUUACAAGCACUCACUGAUAAAGUCACUUUUACAUCCCUGUUUGCUCUGUUACAAGCUGUAUAUUACUGAUGUUUUGUAUCUUUUCAUUGUUUUCUCCUCACUUGUUAUUUAUUCAAAUGUUGUUGGUAUGAAUUUUUCCCUCGCUGUCUUUAUUUCACACAAAUACCUGCAGCCUUUCUGACUGGAAACAGUUUUGUCAGGAUAACAGAGCCGACUGCAGAGAAACACCUGGACUGAGUUUAGAUGAAGCUUCAGGUUUAACUGUGGGAUUAUGGCAGCAGAUUAAUGCUUCUUACUUUGUUGUAUAUUCAUUUUAUCUUAAUGUGCUUUUGUUAAAGGUUUUCAGUGUUUAUUCCAUCAAACAUUUGAAGUCAUUUAAUGUGCAAAAUGAAUAAAUUCAUGACUGUAAUCUGCAUCAGGUUAGAGCGUCACUUUGUUACCAACUCAAAACUUUAUUGGCACACAGCAGCUAAGCUGAGCUUUUUACAAAGAGCAAAGAAAACAGGAAAGACUAAAUCUGUACAAACGGGC